rnacentral:rRNA from 1 species
UACAUGGGGUGCAAACGUUGCUCGGAAUCAUUGGCGUAAAGCGCGCGUAGGCGGUUACUUAUGUCGGAUGUGAAAGCCCUCGGCUUAACUGAGGAAAGUGCAUUCGAAACUGGGUAGCUAGAGUACUAAAGAGGGUCGCGGAAUUCCCGGUGUAGAGGUGAAAUUCGUAGAUAUCGGGAGGAACACCGGUGGCGAAGGCGGCGACCUGGGGUAGAUAC